rnacentral:tRNA from 1 species
GCGCCCGUAGCUCAACGGAUAGAGCAUCUGACUACGGAUCAGAAGGUUGGGGGUUCGAGUCCCUCCGGGCGCACAA